GACGAACGCUGGCGGCGUGCCUAACACAUGCAAGUCGAGCGAGUGAAUCUCCUUCGGGAGUGAAGCUAGCGGCGGACGGGUGAGUAACACGUGGGCAACCUGCCUCAUAGAGGGGAAUAGCCUUUCGAAAGGAAGAUUAAUACCGCAUAAGAUUGUAGCUUCGCAUGAAGUAGCAAUUAUAGGAGCAAUCCGCUAUGAGAUGGGCCCGCGGCGCAUUAGCUAGUUGGUGAGGUAACGGCUCACCAAGGCGACGAUGCGUAGCCGACCUGAGAGGGUGAUCGGCCACAUUGGGACUGAGACACGGCCCAGACUCCUACGGGAGGCAGCAGUGGGGAAUAUUGCACAAUGGGGGAAACCCUGAUGCAGCAACGCCGCGUGAGUGAUGACGGCCUUCGGGUUGUAAAGCUCUGUCUUCAGGGACGAUAAUGACGGUACCUGAGGAGGAAGCCACGGCUAACUACGUGCCAGCAGCCGCAGUAAAAC
rnacentral:rRNA from 1 species